GACGAACGCUGGCGGCGUGCUUAACACAUGCAAGUCGAACGGAAAGGCCCUGCUUUUGUGGGGUGCUCGAGUGGCGAACGGGUGAGUAACACGUGAGUAACCUGCCCUUGACUUUGGGAUAACUUCAGGAAACUGGGGCUAAUACCGGAUAGGAGCUCCUGCUGCAUGGUGGGGGUUGGAAAGUUUCGGCGGUUGGGGAUGGACUCGCGGCUUAUCCGCUUGUUUGUGGGGUAGUGGCUUACCAAGGCUUUGACGGGUAGCCGGCCUGAGAGGGUGACCGGCCACAUUGGGACUGAGAUACGGCCCAGACUCCUACGGGAGGCAGCAGUGGGGAAUAUUGCACAAUGGGCGGAAGCCUGAUGCAGCAACGCCGCGUGCGGGAUGACGGCCUUCGGGUUGUAAACCGCUUUCGCCUGUGACGAAGCGUGAGUGACGGUAAUGGGUAAAGAAGCACCGGCUAACUACGUG
rnacentral:rRNA from 1 species